rnacentral:rRNA from 1 species
UACGUAGGCAGCGAGCGUUGUUCGGAGUUACUGGGCGUAAAGCGUGCGUAGGCGGUUGUCUAAGUUUGGUGUGAAAUCUCCUGCUUAACUGGGAGGGUGCGCCGAAAACUGGGUGACUGGAGUGUCGGAGAGGUAAGCGGAAUUCCUGGUGUAGCGGUGAAAUGCGUAGAGAUCAGGAGGAACACCUGUGGUGUAGACAGCUUACUGGACGAUAACUGACGCUGAGGCACGAAAGCGUGGGUAGCAACAGG